GACGAACGCUGGCGGCGUGCCUAAUACAUGCAAGUCGAGCGAGCGGAACUAACAGAUUUACUUCGGUAAUGACGUUAGGAUAGCGAGCGGCGGAUGGGUGAGUAACACGUGGGGAACCUGCCCCAUAGUCUGGGAUACCACUUGGAAACAGGUGCUAAUACCGGAUAAGAAAGCAGAUCGCAUGAUCAGCUUUUAAAAGGCGGCGUAAGCUGUCGCUAUGGGAUGGCCCCGCGGUGCAUUAGCUAGUUGGUAAGGUAAAGGCUUACCAAGGCGAUGAUGCAUAGCCGAGUUGAGAGACUGAUCGGCCACAUUGGGACUGAGACACGGCCCAAACUCCUCCGGGAGGCAGCAGUAGGGAAUCUUCCACAAUGGACGCAAGUCUGAUGGAGCAACGCCGCUUGAGUGAAGAAGGUUUUCGGAUCGUAAAGCUCUGUUGUUGGUGAAGAAGGAUAGACGUAGUAACUGGGCUUUAUUUGACGGUAAUCAACCAGAACGUCACGGCUAACUACGUG
rnacentral:rRNA from 1 species